rnacentral:rRNA from 1 species
GAUGAACGCUGGCGGCGUGCCUAAUACAUGCAAGUCGAGCGAACGGACGAGAAGCUUGCUUCUCUGAUGUUAGCGGCGGACGGGUGAGUAACACGUGGAUAACCUACCUAUAAGACUGGGAUAACUUCGGGAAACCGGAGCUAAUACCGGAUAAUAUUUUGAACCGCAUGGUUCAAAAGUGAAAGACGGUCCUGCUGUCACUUAUAGAUGGAUCCGCGCUGCAUUAGCUAGUUGGUAAGGUAACGGCUUACCAAGGCAAUGAUGCAUAGCCGACCUGAGAGGGUGAUCGGCCACACUGGAACUGAGACACGGUCCAGACUCCUACGGGAGGCAGCAGUAGGGAAUCUUCCGCAAUGGGCGAAAGCCUGACGGAGCAACGCCGCGUGAGUGAUGAAGGUCUUCGGAUCGUAAAACUCUGUUAUUAGGGAAGAACAUAUGUGUAAGUAACUGUGCACAUCUUGACGGUACCUAAUCAGAAAGCCACGGCUAACUACGUG